AUUGAACGCUGGCGGCAGGCCUAACACAUGCAAGUCGAACGAGUGGCGGACGGGUGAGUAAUGUCUGGGAAACUGCCUGAUGGAGGGGGAUAACUACUGGAAACGGUAGCUAAUACCGCAUACCAUCGGAUGUGCACAGAUGGGCUUAGCUAGUAGGUGGGGUAACGGCUCACCUAGGGGACGAUCCCUAGCGGGUCUGAGAGGAUGACCAGCCACACUGUAACUGUGACAGUGGCCAGACUCCUACGGGAGGCAGCAGUGGGGAAUAUUGCACAAGGGGCGCAAGCCUGAUGCAGCCAUGCCGCGUGUAUGAAGAAGGCCUUCGGGUUGGAAAGUACUUUCAGCGGGGAGGCGUUACCCGCAGAAGAAGCACCGGCUAACUCCGUGCCAGCAGCCGCGGUAAUAC
rnacentral:rRNA from 1 species